ACAGCAUGGUGGGGGCACUUCCGAAGUAAUUCCUUAAGUCUUUCCCAUGCUUCAUGAAAUUGCUCGCCCUCUAAUUGGAAAAAACUGGUAAUAGCUUGCCUAAGGUU